rfam:Ipomoea nil DNA, scaffold: scaffold3210, cultivar: Tokyo-kokei standard.
GAUGGUUUGGCCGAGUGGUCUAAGGCGCCUGGUUUAGGCUCUGGUUUGAAAGGGCGUGGGUUCAAAUCCCACAGCUGUCA